UGAGACCAGCUACCAAAAUGACCAG
rnacentral:rasiRNA from 1 species